GUGCUAGCUUUGGCAGCAGGUAUACUAAAAUUAGAAUGAUUCAGAGAAGAUUAGCAUGGCCCCUAAGCAAGGAUGACAUGCAAAUUUGUGAAGCAUUCCAUAUUUUU